rnacentral:lncRNA from 1 species
CAUGUUACCAUGAAAGACACGGUAAUAUAACUUUGCCUUCCUUGAUAUUGCUCCUCAAAGGCUGAUUUCUUUUUCCUGUCUUGUUGCAUUGGCCAGGACUUCCAGGAUGAUAUGGAAGAGUAACUGAGAGCAGCCGCCCGGUGCUUCCCAACCUUAGAGGGAGGUCACGGGCAGUCUCCCUGCGAUGCCGGCCACAGGGUCUCACUGUGUCGCCCAGGCUGGAAGGCAGUGGUGUGAUCUGGACUCACUGCAGCCUCGACCUGUUGGGCUCAAGUGAUCCUCCCACAUCAGCCUCCAAGUAGCCAAGACCACAGGCAGGCGUCACCAUGCCCAGCCCCCAUGACUUUACUUUUCUUCUUGAACCUGCUGUCUAUGAGCUUCAUCAAAUGGGCAGGACCACCUUCCCUUAACUUCUCCUUUUCUGGAACAACGGACAUAUCCU